ACAAGGACCUGGCAGGGAAGAUCUCAUGAUUCUCUCAGCCAAUCAAGUUUAGUUAUAGGGUGAGGCCUGCCCCUUGCACUCUGGGCAGACUGACCACUGUAAAAUUCCCCAAAUGCAGGAAAUUUGACUGCACACGAUUGUGGUAAUGGGGGGCUGAGUUCUUGCUUUUCCUGU
rnacentral:snRNA from 12 species